CCUACGGGAGGCAGCAGUAAGGAAUAUUGGUCAAUGGACGAAAGUCUGAACCAGCCAUGCCGCGUGAAGGAUGACGGCCCUCUGGGUUGUAAACUUCUUUUAUAGGGGACGAAAAAAGGGUAUUCUUACUCACUUGACGGUACCCUAGGAAUAAGCACCGGCUAACUCCGUGCCAGCAGCCGCGGUAAUACGGAGGGUGCAAGCGUUAUCCGGAUUCACUGGGUUUAAAGGGUGCGUAGGUGGGUCUAUAAGUCAGUGGUGAAAUCUCCGAGCUUAACUCGGAAACUGCCAUUGAUACUAUAGGCCUUGAAUUAUCUGGAGGUAAGCGGAAUAUGUCAUGUAGCGGUGAAAUGCUUAGAUAUGACAUAGAACACCAAUUGCGAAGGCAGCUUACUACGGAUAUAUUGACACUGAGGCACGAAAGCGUGGGGAUCAAACAGGAUUAGAUACCCUGGUAGUCCACGCCCUAAACCUAUGGAUACUCACAUCAGCGAUACACUGUUGGUGUCUGAGCGAAAGCAUUAAGUAUCCCACCUGGGAAGUACGACCGCAAGGUUGAAACUCAAAGGAAUUGACGG
rnacentral:rRNA from 1 species